rnacentral:ncRNA from 1 species
CAAACCAGCACCUCGUAUGGGGCUCGUCCGAGUCCGUCCUAUGACGGCCGGAUACAUGAGCCCGCGAUGACCUGGACGGGACUGGAGGUUCUUCAUG